UUGCACGCUUUUCUUCUCUCUCCUCGCCUGCGGUUGUGACAUACCUAACCGUUGCUUCGGCGGGCAGGGGAAGCCUCUCGCGGGCCUCCCCUCCCGGCGCCGGCCCCCACCACGGGGACGGGGCGCCCGCCGGAGGAAACCAAACUCUAUUUACACGACGUCUCUUCUGAGUGGCACAAGCAAAUAAUUAAAACUUUUAACAACGGAUCUCUUGGUUCUGGCAUCGAUGAAGAACGCAGCGAAAUGCGAUAAGUAAUGUGAAUUGCAGAAUUCAGUGAAUCAUCGAAUCUUUGAACGCACAUUGCGCUCGCCAGCAUUCUGGCGAGCAUGCCUGUUCGAGCGUCAUUUCAACCCUCAAGCACCGCUUGGUUUUGGGGCCCCACGGCACACGUGGGCCCUUAAAGGUAGUGGCGGACCCUCCCGGAGCCUCCUUUGCGUAGUAACUAACGUCUCGCACUGGGAUUCGGAGGGACUCUUGCCGUAAAACCCCCAAAUUUUUUACAGGUUGACCUCGGAUCAGGUAGGAAUACCCGCUGAACUUAAGCAUAUCAAUAAGCGGAGGAAUU
rnacentral:rRNA from 1 species